rnacentral:rRNA from 1 species
GUGCCAGCAGCCGCGGUAAUACGUAGGGGGCAAGCGUUGUCCGGAUUUAUUGGGCGUAAAGAGCGUGUAGGCGGUUAGGUAGGUCCGUUGUGAAAACUCGAGGCUCAACCUCGAGACGCCGAUGGAAACCAUCUGACUAGAGUCCGGAAGAGGAGAGUGGAAUUCCUGGUGUAGCGGUGAAAUGCGCAGAUAUCAGGAAGAACACCCGUGGCUAAGGCGGCUCUCUAGUACGUGACUGACGCUGAGACGCGAAAGCGUGGGGAGCGAACAGGAUUAGAAACCCCCGUAGUCC